GCCCUCGUAGCUCAGUUGGAUAGAGCAGCGGUUUCCUAAACCGUUUGUCGGGAGUUCGAAUCCCCCCGGGGGCGCCA
rnacentral:tRNA from 1 species